rnacentral:pre_miRNA from 1 species
AGAGGGAUAACUGGGUCAAAUGGUGGUUACAUUCCCAGAUUUUCAAGGAAUCUCCACACUGCUUUCAAUAUUGGCUACACCAAUUUGCAGUCCCACCAGUAAU